UGGAUUAGGCAUGCAAGUCGAGCGAGAAGUCCUUCGGGACGGACAGCGGCGAAAGGGAGAGGAAUACGUAGAAAUCUACCCCUGAGACCGGGAUAGCGUCGGGAAACUGGCAGUAAUACCGGAUAACGUCUUAGGACCAAAGGUGUGAUUCCACUUGGGGAUGAGUCUACGCCCUAUUAGCUAGUUGGUGGGGUAAUGGCCUACCAAGGCGAUGAUGGGUAGCGGGUGUGAGAGCAUGAUCCGCCUCACUGGGACUGAGAACUGCCCAGACACCUACGGGUGGCUGCAGUCGAGAAUCUUUGUCAAUGGACGAAAGUCUGAACAAGCGACGCCGCGUGCGGGAUGAAGGCCUUCGGGUUGUAAACCGCUGUCGUAGGGGAACAAAUGUACGGGGGUACUCCCCUGUAUUUGAGUGAUCCUAGGAGGAAGGAGAGGCUAAGCUCGUGCCAGCAGCCGCGGUA
rnacentral:rRNA from 1 species